CUAGUCAUUUCAUUUCUGCCUCUUUUCCUGGAGGGCCGGGGGAUCUCCCAGUGCUGUCUGUUCUUUUCCUCUGAGUUUUGCAGGCAGGGGAAUCUCAUGCAAGCUUCAGCUCCACAUCCUCUGAAGAGAAAACAUUAAAGUCAGCACUUGACUGCACUGAAUUUUACAGGAUUUUCUCCCAAGAGACAGAAGCAGGAGGAGGGAGAUGAAGAAAAGACAUCAUAACUUGACAUCGCCAUGCUUUUCUGUUUGUGGUCUGCUAGGAUUUGGCAAUAACAUUUAUGCUGUUUCGGAGAAAAGAUAGGGGGUGAACAGCUGGAGGAGAAGUCCACACAAAGGCUUUAACGUCAGCAGGAGCAGAGCCCCAGGAGGGUCCUGGACAGGCCAGCAGUGUCAGUGUGUCGGCUCGGGGACAUCUCUGGUCUGAACACACCCGUCGGGGAUGUGUGUGCUGCUUGGAGGGGCUGGGAAAGCCACAAAGCAUCUCAGCUCACUUCCAGACUUAUUUUUUAGACAGCCUGGAUUUGUUUUGGAGGGAAAAAAAGGGGGACAGCCUCAUCCCGUGCUGAAGGUCGCAUUCAUCAUGGCUGCGAGAAGGGAGCAGGAAUGAGGUGGCCAAACCACGACCUGUGCCAGGUGGUGCUGCCCUGGGCAAUGUGGGGCACCCACAGCCAGGACCGAAGCUGCUGCCCCUGCUCCAAAGACGGUGCUGCAAGAAUCACUAUUGACAGAGACUUCUGCAAACCACCCAAAAGCCCAAUUGAGAUGUCUGUUAUAAACACAGUUCAAACAACAUCGCACAAGAAAUGUUAUAAAUAUUUUAAAAUGGCUUCUUAA
rnacentral:lncRNA from 1 species